AUUACACUCCAUGGAGUAAGAACAUAUAACUUAAUAGCCUAUCAUUGCUAGAGGUAGGAUAGAAUCGUUUUCCAGACAGGGUCGGGUCAUAAAAAUAACGUUCUACGUUAGUGAACACUGGAAAAUAAUCAACAAUCGACUAAUGAGUGAGUGAGGAGCUUAUUGGCGAAUGUGUCCAUCAAGUAUUGAGAUUAAGUCAGGAAAGAGGGAGAGAGAAUGGGAUGACAGCCGCAGGUCGUAACCAAACCCGCAACAACUGCAACAAGGACUGAGCGUCUGCACACUCAACCAGGCUCCCAGGAUCCACCCUCUCAUUCACCAGUUCGCUGGUGUGGAGCGUCCACAAGAACAACUCUGCCGUGAAUGAGCUGCCACGGCCCAUCAA